AAAUCCCUGCCGUGCUCGUGAAGAUAAGGCAAAUUUGAGCCAACACCUUUGAAAAGGGAGCCUUAAAUCGACGAGUGAACUGCACGCCGCCUCGGCGCGGAAGCACGAAGCUCGGGUGCGGGCACCCACUUGGACCUUAUGGUUCAAUACGUCGAGUCUCACGGCACAGAGCGGGGAUUUU
rnacentral:other from 1 species